CCCUUAGAUGUUCUGGGCCGCACGCGUGCUACACUGGUGAAUACAGCGAGUGUCCAUUCCCUUGACCGAAGGGUCUGGGUAAUCUUAUGAAAGUUCAUCGUGACAGGGAUUGAUCAUUGCAAUUAUUGAUCAUGAACGAGGAAUUCCUAGUAAAGGCGAGUCAUCAUCUCGCUUUGAUUACGUCCCUGCCCUUUGUACACACCGCCCGUCGCUACUACCGAUUGAAUGGUUUAGUGAGAUCUCCGGAUUGGCGGCCUUGGUACCUUCACGGGUCCAACGGUUCUGCCGAGAAGCUGCUCGAACUUGAUCAUUUAGAGGAAGUAAAAGUCGUAACA
rnacentral:rRNA from 1 species